CUUGGACUACCCACAGUCCUUCCCUUUCUGGAGGUAUGGCUAAGGAAGAGAUUACACACUCCUUGUAGUUAUACCCUUCAUACUGUUAGUUGGAGGUCUGAUAGGCUAAAAGCAGUCAGCUGACACACUCAACUAAUCACAGCUCCCCGUUGCUGCUCAGGCAAAUACUUCCUCAUUAGCCAAAGCACCACAGAGGGGAGGAGCUGCUGGAGACUCUUGUUUAGCAUUAAAACAUAAAAACAUUUUAAAACUGUUUACUGCUGAAUGAAAUGAUGGUACCUGUGGAUUUCCAACACACUAACCAUAUUAAUGAGAUGAAGCAGAUACAUGCCAGUAGUGUUCCUAUAAAAGUUCUGAGUUCUGUCU